AUGAAGAAGCAGCUUGUGUGUGGUAUGGCUGUAGUGAUUGUGGCAAUUUUGCUAUUCGGGGAGGUGAGUUACAAGUUAGAGGCAUUGAGUUGCAGCCCUAUAGAGUUCAACCCUUGUUUUGUAUCAUUUACAAGUUCUUCUUUACCAACAAGUUAUUGUUGCCAGAAACAAAGAGAGCAAAGACCAUGUUUUUGUAGUUAUAUAAAAAAUCCAAGUCUCAAACACUAUAUUCUCUCCCCUGGUGCUAGAAGGAUUGCUAUCUCUUGUGGGAUUCCCGUCCCAACUUGUUAA